UACGUAGGGGGCAAGCGUUGUCCGGAUUUACUGGGCGUAAAGAGCGCGUAGGCGGACGUUUAAGUGUGGCCUGAAAGCCCCCGGCUCAACCGGGGAUCCGGGUUGCAAACUGGACGUCCUGAGGGGGAUAGGGGAAGGUGGAAUUCCUGGUGUAGCGGUGAAAUGCGUAGAGAUCAGGAGGAACACCCGUGGCGAAGGCGGCUCUCUGGGACGGUACUGACGCUGAGACGCGAAAGCGUGGGGAGCGAACAGG
rnacentral:rRNA from 1 species